rnacentral:rRNA from 1 species
AGGCUAAGUACUCACAGGCGACCGAUAGUGAACUAGUACCGUGAGGGAAAGGUGAAAAGUACCCCGGGAGGGGAGUGAAAUAGUACCUGAAACCGUUGGCUUACAAACAGUCAGAGCGUCGUCGGCACUUUGUGCCGGCCGUGAUGGCGUGCCUUUUGAAGAAUGAGCCAACGAGUUACGGUGUGUGGCGAGGUUAACCCGCGAGGGGGAGCCGAAGCGAAAGCGAGUCUGAAUAGGGCGAAUGAGUCGCAUGCUGUAGACCCGAAGCCGAGUGAGCUAGCCAUGGGCAGGCUGAAGCGGGGGUAAGACCCCGUGGAGGGCCGAACCCACCCUGGUUGAAAACAGGGGGGAUGACCUGUGGUUAGGGGUGAAAGGCCAAUCAAACUCGGUGAUAGCUGGUUCUCCCCGAAAUGCAUUUAGGUGCAGCGUCGGGCGUUCAGCAUCGGAGGUAGAGCACUGAAUGGGCUAGGGGGCCUACAAGCUUACUGACCCCAAUCAAACUCCGAAUGCCGAUGCUCCAGAGCCUGGCAGUGAGACCACGAGGGAUGAGCUUCGUUGGUCGAAAGGGAAACAGCCCAGACCGCCAGCUAAGGCCCCAAAUUCUAGGCUAAGUGGAAAACGAUGUGGGAACGCAAAAACAGCCAGGAGGUUGGCUUAGAAGCAGCCACCCUUGAAAGAGUGCGUAAUAGCUCACUGGUCGAGUGGUCCUGCGCGGACAAUGUAACGGGGCUCAAGCCUAGAGCCGAAGCUGCGGAUUUCCGUCUUAAGACGGGAGUGGUAGGGGAGCGUCGAUCUUGCUGAGAAGCGCGGGUGUAAACCUACGUGGAGCGUGGUCGAGUGCGAAUGCUGGUAUGAGUAGCGAGAGAGGGGUGAGAAACCCCUCCGCCGUAAGCCCAAGGGUUCCUGGGGAAGGCUAAUCCUCCCAGGGUAAGUCGGGAGCUAAGGCGAGGCCGAAAGGCGUAGUCGAUGCACAACUGGUUGAUAUUCCAGUACCGCCGUGUCCGCGCCCAUUCCGGACUAGGGAUACUAAGGGGCUGACCUUCGGGUCGAACCGACCGGCCCUAGCGAGGGAAGCGAGGGAGGGACGCAGGAGGGUAGGUGAGCCCAGGCGUUGGUUGUCCUGGGGUAAGCGUGUAGGGAGAGGUCCAGGCAAAUCCGGCCCUCACAAAUCCUGAGACGCGAUGCCGAGCCGUACAGGCGAAGUCACUGAUCCCAUGCUGCCGAGAAAAGCCCCUAGCGAGCUGGCACGGUGCCCGUACCCCAAACCGACACAGGUGGGCGGGUAGAGAAUACCAAGGCGAUCGGGAGAACUGUGGUUAAGGAACUCGGCAAAAUACCUCCGUAACUUCGGGAGAAGGAGGGCCUCAAUAGGGUGAAGGACUUCGCGUCCGGAGCUCGAGGAGGUCGCAGUGAAUAGGGGAAAGCGACUGUUUACUAAAAACACAGGAGCGUGCGAAGUCGUAAGACGAUGUAUACGCUCUGACGCCUGCCCGGUGCCGGAAGGUUACGGGGAAGGGUUAGCCUUCGGGUGAAGCUCUGAACCUAAGCCCCGGUAAACGGCGGCCGUAAGUAACGUUGCGGCUCCAAGGGAGUAAUCCUUUGGAACAAACUCUGCCAAAUGCUGGAAACCCCGAGCAUCCGGCGGUACUCGUCCGUGAUCGGAUCAUCAAGGCGAUGGUUGACACGGGCAGUGACAAUCCGUCCGGUGCGGACAAUCAGCAGGAAAGGCCUAGUUCCUCAAGCUGGCCGUACAAGAUCCCAAACGAUCUGGGCAACUAGAUCGCCGGAUCCGUCGACGAAAGGGAAGCUUCAACGUUCCCUCUUGUCGUGAGCGCGACUCGUACGGUCAGAAACUCACCUUUCUGUCUCAGUCCAUUGGGCCCAUCCUCUUAUGAGAUGGCCCAGGAGCCAAGACCGGAAGUGUCGGUAGAGCAAUGACAAGAUCAUUGCGAACUUGAGGGAUUGGGAAUCCUCAGAGACCAUACGCAGAGCUCCCUCUUAGAAGCAGAGGGAUGAAGAUAUGGUCCACGCCUCAUGGCGACAUGAGGGACCACGUGAACUAUAACGGUGAAGUUUGAAACUUGGCCGUUGGAAAACCCCACUGUUUGCUGGA